CCUACGGGCUGCAGCAGUGAGGAAUAUUGGUCAAUGGACGCAAGUCUGAACCAGCCAUGCCGCGUGCAGGAAGACGGCUCUAUGAGUUGUAAACUGCUUUUGUACGAGGGUAAAUCCCGAGACGUGUAGCGGGUUGAAAGUAUCGUACGAAUAAGGAUCGGCUAACUCCGUGCCAGCAGCCGCGGUAAAACGGAGGAUUCAAGGGUUAUCCGGAUUUAUGGGGUUUAAAGGGUGCGUAGGCGGUGCGAUCAGUUAGAGGUGAACUCCCGGGGCUCACCUCCGGCACUGCCUCUGAUACUGUCGGGCUGGCGUUUAGUUGCGUUAGGCGGAAUGUAUGGUGUAGCGGUGAAAUGCAUAGAGAUCAUACAGAACACCGAUUGCGCGGGCAGCUUACCACACUACGACUGACGUUGCGGCACGAAAGCGUGGGGAGCAAACAGGAUUAGAUACCCCUGUAGUC
rnacentral:rRNA from 1 species